rnacentral:pre_miRNA from 1 species
CUCCUACUCCCUCCGUCCGGAAAUACUUGUCAUCAAAAUGAAUAAAAGGGGAUGUAUCUAGAUGUAUUUUAGUUUUAGAUACAUUCUUUUUUGUCCAUUUUGAUGACAAGUAUUUUCGGACGGAGGGAGUAGGUG